AUGCUCGCCCAAAAGCUGGCGGGCCAAUGAAAUUGUCAGGGCGGGCUUUAUACGAUGAUGGACAGAUGCUCAACAGUAACGUAAUCAACCACGUCCCCAAAGAGCGCUUGGGUUGAAUUCGUUUACAACAACGAUGGCUGCCGCUGGAGAAUUGAGAUGUGUAGAUUCUGCUAUCAGGUCUGUUCUAGAAGAUAUCGACAGCGAAUUAAUUUUAAAAGAGGAACAAAGUAACGGGAUCAAGGCAUUUGUUGAUAAGAAAUAUAUUUUUGCCGAAGCAACUGAAAUGGCCAUCACGGCGAUGCAACUCAGUGUGCACGACGAGGUGGAUAUAGCCAGCGGUCGUUGCCAGAUCCUUUUUUGAAGCCCGGGAUCCUGGCUGCUGAACAACAAGUGGAGGGACAUGCUAGGCUCCGAUGUUUUUCAAGCCAACGUAAUGGGUAUCGUCGUGGACGAAGUUCAUCUAACUUACAAAUGGUACACCUGUGCUGGCAUUGACCGCUUCUGCUGAUCGGGAAUCCAGAGCCAGGG